rnacentral:misc_RNA from 1 species
GACGGUUGUGGGAAUGUUCGAUGGCCUUGGAAACACUACGGUGGGUUUAGUCGAUGACGGGUUAAGGUGUUCUUCCCCCCCUGGACACCGAGAGGGCAACACGCGAACCCGUUAUCGAAGCAGAGGUCCCGAUCGACAGUUCAGAUUUUGUAGGCAACGAUCGGCCGACCCGAUUGAUGGUAUUGGUUUUGUGGGAAAUGAUGGACCGACCCGACUGACGGUUUUGAUUUUGUUGGAAAUGAUAGACCGACUCGAUUGACGGUUUUGAUUUUGUGGGAAAUGAUGGACCGACCCGAUUGAUGAUUUUCAUUUUGUGGGAAACUAUGUAUCGACCCGAUUGACGGUUUUGAUUUUCGCAUCGCGCGGUGCUUUCCUUGGAUCCAACUUCGGCUAAAGGUUGCAUUCUUGGCCUUUUUGCUAGGAUGUGGCUAUUAGUUGGGUGGUUUUAGGGAUUGUCGAUCGUAAAGGUGCAUGAGUUGUGUUUGGUUUGUUACGUGUCGUUGGAUGUCUGUUUAUGCAGCAACGUCGACACGUGCAGACCUCUUCAUCUAUUGUGAAAGCGUGCUUUGCUUUUGCAUGUUGUGGGUUUCUAGCGUUGUGUUCCUGAAUUGUGGCAUUUUAUGGUUUGAACGACGUGUCUUUAAUCAUGUCACACAUAUGUGUGCCAAUGUAAAAAGGCAUGAUGCUAUCUCUUCGAUCCAUUUCGUCUUCGUCUUUGGCAUUGAUGUUCUGGCCUGUUGAGAAAGCUGGUCUCAUGGAUGUGGAGCUUGACUCGGUGAUUUGGUUUUAUUAACCAUUUUGGUUGCCAUUACUAGACGUUUUUGCCUCUCCUUCAUAUGACUGUCCAUUGUG